rnacentral:rRNA from 1 species
AGUGAACGCUGGCGGUAGGCCUAACACAUGCAAGUCGAACGGCAGCACAGUAAGAGCUUGCUCUUACGGGUGGCGAGUGGCGGACGGGUGAGGAAUACAUCGGAAUCUAUUUUUUCGUGGGGGAUAACGUAGGGAAACUUACGCUAAUACUGCAUACGACCUACGGGUGAAAGCAGGGGAUCUUCGGACCUUGCGCGAUUGAAUGAGCCGAUGUCGGAUUAGCUAGUUGGCGGGGUAAAGGCCCACCAAGGCGACGAUCCGUAGCUGGUCUGAGAGGAUGAUCAGCCACACUGGAACUGAGACACGGUCCAGACUCCUACGGGAGGCAGCAGUGGGGAAUAUUGGACAAAGGACGCAAGCCUGAUCCAGCCAUACCGCGUGGGUGAAGAAGGCCUUCGGGUUGUAAAGCCCUUUUGUUGGGAAAGAAAAGCAGCAGGUUAAUACCCCGCUGUUCUGACGGUACCCAAAGAAUAAGCACCGGCUAACUUCGUG